ACUCAACGUUAAUUCUUUAAAAAGGGUGAGUUUAAGUUGUAAAAGCAUGCUGCUAGUGCCAUUUAUGGUAUCUCGAGCAGACCCUUGAUCAGCUUGUUAGCCCUAAACUUGUUUUUAAGGAGUUU
rnacentral:sRNA from 2 species